rnacentral:lncRNA from 1 species
GAUGAAAGUUUAGGACGUCUGAGAAUCAAAGCACCCACCAAGAGGACACUGCCUAGUGGCAGCCUCGCUACUGACAACAGCCCUUCCCACACCACAGCCACACGAGCUGCAGCUGCAGGUGCAGCGGUGGCAGCAGACCACAGGGACGCAGCCGCAGCCCUCACAGCAGCCGCAGCAGCGGGGGCAACACUGGUGCAGCAGCUGACCUGGUGGCAUCUGCAGGUGGUGCAGGUGCCACAGCCCCCACUGCAGCCACCACCACAGCCACGGCCACAGUUCCCACCACAGUUACCAACACAGCCACCACCACAGCCACUGCCACAGUUACCAACACAGCUACUAUCACAGCCACCACCGCAGCCCCCACCACAGCCACCACUGCAGCCCCCACCACAGUUACUAACACAGCCACUAUCACAGCCCCCACCACAGACCUCACCACAGUUACUAACACAGCCACUAUCACAGCCCCCACCACAGACCUCACCACAGCCCCCACCCAGCCACGGCCAUGGCCCCCACCACAGCCCCCACCACACCCACCACUGCAGCCCCCACCACAGUUACCAACACAGCCACUAUCACAGCCACCACCACAGCUCCCACCACAACCCCCACCACAGCCACCACCACAGUUACCAACACAGCCACUAUCACAGUCCUCACCACAGCCACCACCACAGCCAUGACCACAGCCCCCACCCAGCCACGGCCACAGCCACCACCACACUCACCACUACAGCCCCCACCACAGCCCCUAACAUAGUCACCACCACAGCCCCCACCACAGUUACCAACACAGCCACUAUCACAGCCACCACCACAGCCACCACCACAGCCCCCACCACAGCCACCACUACAGCCCCCACCACAGCCCCUAACAUAGUCACCACCACAGCCCCCACCACAGCUCCCACCACAGUUACCAACACAGCCACUAUCACAGCCACCACCACAGCCCCCACCACAAGCCACCACCACAGCCACCACUUCAGACACCACUACAACCCCCACCACAGCCCCCACCACAACCCCUACCACAGCUCCCACUACAGUCCCCACCACAGCCCCUAA